UGGGAAGUUCAGUUUCCACGUUGGUGGCGUGAUUGUGUGGCUGUUUAAGGCAGCGUGGGCAACGGCAUUUUUGCCCGUCAUUAAGCGCACCCAGCUUGUGCCACGUUGGGGGUAUAUCGGUUGCUGUGUGCCUCCUGUUUUGCGAUAUCGGUGUUUAUUGAGGUACGUAGGUCGCUUAUAGCAUUUCUUAAUGUGUUUUUGUUGUCAGUUGUUCCUGUGUUGACGUGUAUGUAGGAUGUAUGACUCAUGACUGCGCCCCAAAUCUACCUACGGGUACAAAUAAAGGAACCUGAACCU